rnacentral:ribozyme from 1 species
AGAAACAAUAAAAAAAAAUAAUCUCUGAAGACUCUCUUUCUCUAGUUUUGGUUUUGUUUUUUUUUUUUUGUUUUGUUUUGUUUUGUUUUUCCUUGU